rnacentral:rRNA from 1 species
UACGUAGGGUGCAAGCGUUAAUCGGAAUUACUGGGCGUAAAGCGUGCGCAGGCGGUUCGGAAAGAAGGAUGUGAAAUCCCAGGGCUUAACCUUGGAACUGCAUUUUUAACUGCCGGGCUAGAGUAUGUCAGAGGGGGGUAGAAUUCCACGUGUAGCAGUGAAAUGCGUAGAGAUGUGGAGGAAUACCGAUGGCGAAGGCAGCCCCCUGGGAUAAUACUGACGCUCAUGCACGAAAGCGUGGGGAGCAAACAGG